GUCAUUUGAACCACGCUGCAAAAAAAGUAGGUCUCCAUGUGCAGGGUUCAAGUUCCCAAUUUUGGAAAACCCUAGGGUUCUGAUCGCAGCGAUUUCAACUUCUUUCACAGCCAAGUUUGGAAAUGCCUACACUCACCUGAUUUCUUUCGCAGCGUUAUCGGAGUGAUUUCUUUCAGAGCCUAUUUUGCUGCAAGGCUACGCCCACUGUGGUAUCAAUUGUCGCCGUAGAACAAGCGCUGUCAUUGGCAAUAUUACCUGUUUCAUCCCUCUCCACUAUGGAUACAGUGAAUGAAUCGUCUCUGACAGGCACAUCGAAGUUGAGUUUCGUGACAUCCACCGGCGGUGGUCGCCUGUCUUCCCCCUUGUGUAGUUUACGAUCCAAGCAUAACAAUGGUCCAAGGGCCAAACCUCGAACGCAUGAGCAGUAAAAGCCCUAAUUAAAAUCCAACCGCCAUGGUGAUUGGCGCCCCGGCAACUUGUUAAACAGAUCAAGUGAUCAACUGAGAAACAAGCGAUUAAACUUUAGAUGACAUAUCUGCAGAACACACCGUUGAUCGUCGGGUUUCGCAAUAUUGAUUCUGCGUGCAACUACAGUUUCAGCUGGAGUAGUUCAAAGAAAUUACUCUCUCUUUUUUCCCUUAUGGGUAAGUGGGGAGGGGUUCAAAAUAUGAUGUCGCUAGAUCUACUGGACUAUUUCGUCAUUGUACUAGUAUAACACUGAUGCACGCGUGAUGUGUGACCUGGGGUAGUCUGUUUCAAAAGUUUUAUCAUCUCCGCGUGUCAAACUAAGGAGGGGCUGGACCAAACUCCGCUAUGUUACGGGCGGGAUCGUAGUGGAAUCCGGAAUUGUCUGUUACCUAAUCUUUCAUUUUUGCCCUAGUGAGACAAAUCCUUCUCUCUUUCGCGGUCUCCCUCUCUCGAAACGGAUGCGAAGCUUCAAUGGCGUCUAGGUACCUGGUGGCGUCUCUUCUGUUCAAGUCUCAGUGUCUUCUCAAUGGAGUGGUCUACGAGAAUUGAUCUCUAGUUAAAUAUUCGAAAUCUCCGUGUCGUACCUGCAUCAUCUGCUUACGCUCGACGAUGAUCCCUCAAAGUGGUCGUUUCGCAAAGAUCAGGUGAAAGAUGGAGGAGUUGGACAGGGUUUCGGAAGUGGAGAACAGUGCCAUAACUGUUGAUGGUGUGCCUACUUUCCUAUAUCUUGCUAUUUAAUUGUUAACAACUGUAUGCAAUUCACGGAAUAUUGCUGGUGUGAGUUUGAGUGUGAGUGUGACAUUUGUUUUUGGUGUUAUUCACUGAAUUUUGUGCUGUGAUGUUGGAUUGGUAUGUAACAAAGCAAAGUAUCCAACACUGCCUCUGUUAAAAGAGAUGGUGGAUAGCAUUCAUGGUCUAGUUGCAAAGAUUGAGGAUAACCUCAAGAUGAUGUUUGUUUC